rnacentral:rRNA from 1 species
UACGUAGGGGGCAAGCGUUGUCCGGAUUUAUUGGGCGUAAAGAGCGGUGUAGGCGGCUAGGUAGGUCCGUUGUGAAAACUCGAGCUCAACCUCGAGACGCCGGUGGAAACCAUCUAGCUAGAGUCCGGAAGAGGAGAGUGGAAGUUCCUGGUGUAGCGGUGAAAUGCGCAGAGUAUCAGGAAGAACACCCGUGGCGGAAGGCGGCUCUCUGGGACGUGACUGACGCUGAGACGCGAAAGCCGUGGGGAGCGAACAGG